rnacentral:lncRNA from 1 species
AUUCAAGUAGUGACGUAAAAAUAUAAAAUAAUACAAUCACUUAUAUAUAUUUAAAGUAUAAUAUACACAUGGAUAUCUAAAAUGGGAUUGAGUGAAGAUGACCUUCGUAGAUAUCCGGAUCAUAAGCAUAGUCCGAAGGCACAUCAACCCACCUUCUAACCAAGCAACGUUGUAGUCUUGUACGUUCAUCCCAGAAGAAACGCGGGCUGAGUUAUAAGCACUUUCGAAUCGCUCGCUGAAGCUCUGGCUCUGAGAGAUGUUCUCUGGUUGAUAAUACGGCUAUGGAGGAGCCCAUCUGAAUAAGUUGGUAGCAAAAUCCGACACGUAAGAUGUUUACGGACUGCAUAAGAUAGUAGCCAUCGAAAGAUGCAUCAGAUACACCUAUCCAUAUCCGUAUAGGUUAUAGACUACAUGUGGCUGCGGAUAAUAUGAUCCAGUAUACAACUCGAAACUUGAUACGUCUAUGGAUCCUACACCACGUACGAGGUCAUCUGCAGCUGCAUCGUAUCCUCCUAAAUGAUCUUGAGAAGCCUGCCUUCUAUAUGCAAUCAUAACCUCGCGGGCUUUACCAGAUUGUGCACCGCGGUCCCUAUCCUGUGU